CUCAUGGAGGAGGGUCAAUGGGAACCCAAGGCUCUGAUGAUGUGUUGACGAGGGCAUUGGGCACCCCCGAGCCACGAGGGCGUGUUCAAGCUAAAGGUCACGGUGUGUCCUCCGCAUUGUUUUGGGAUACUCCGAAACCUACCAAAAUGAAAGAGAAAUUGAAAGAUAUUGUUUUGGCUAGCGCUACGACAUCGUCAACAAGAAGCGUGUCUAGAAGAACAUUUUCGUAAACAAGAGGAAAUGUUGAGAUCUUUCAUGGCCCAACAGAGUGGUUCAGGAUCCAAUAUUGGAGUCCCACCAGUAGUUCCAAACCCACCAGGACCAUCUUACUAUGUGCCCGACCCAUAAGCACCAUCUUACUAUGUGCUCGACCCUCCAGGGCCAUCUUGCUAUGUGCCUGACCAAUCAGCACCAUCUUACUAUCAGCCUGAACCACCAGUACCAUUUGUGACUGAGGUACCUAGUUGUCAGUUAGCCAUUGGUUCGCUAUCCAAUAUUGUUGCAUCAGGCAAGCUCAUUGACAAAGAAUCAGGUAACAACUACCAAGUGGUGAUUACUGACGCUAUUAAGCUGGCGACACCUCUUCCUUAUGCAAAACCUGAUCAGAAUAUGUACAUAGUCAUUCAGGCUAUUGGGCAUCCUAUAUCAUGGCCUAAGGAAUUAGUCAUCGUAUCUAAUGAUAUACAUGAACAGAAUUGUUCUAUAAGUAAUAACAUAUCAGAACGACCAAUUGCUCCUUCAACACAAUGACCUCGAGAAAGAAUACAACGUUUGAGUAAUUCUCUGACAUAAGACACCAGUCCUUUGGAAUAGAUUUACAAUAUUAUAUCUCGUUGGAAUGAUGAUGACUCUGUAUUCGAUCAGGAUAUUUCAAGUCUUUACAUAUGUAAAGAGGACAUACUUCAAUUUAUUCAAAUGGAAAAGAUUGGAC